CCUCCCGCUUCUCCUCCCUGAGCGGGGGCCUUGAUUCAAGGCUAUUGACCCCGGCGCCCCCGCCGGGGUUUUUUUU
rnacentral:ncRNA from 1 species